AGCAGCCGCGGUAAUUCCAGCUCCAAUAGCGUAUAUUAAAGUUGUUGCAGUUAAAAAGCUCGUAGUUGAAUUUCGAGAUCAAAUUGUUGGUCGUGCCUUGGUACGCACUGGCAUUAUUGGUUUCUCCCUUCUGACGAACCAUGAUGUCAUUAAUUUGGUGUCUUGGGGAAUCAGGACUGUUACUUUGAAAAAAUUAGAGUGUUUAAAGCAGGCUCACGCUUGAAUACAUUAGCAUGGAAUAAUGAAAUAGGACGUUUGAUUCUAUUUUGUUGGUUUCUAGGAUCGACGUAAUGAUUAAUAGGGAUAGUUGGGGGCAUUAGUAUUCAAUUGUCAGAGGUGAAAUUCUUGGAUUUAUUGAAGACUAACUACUGCGAAAGCAUUUGCCAAGGAUGUUUUCAUUAAUCAAGAACGAAAGUUAGGGGAUCGAAGACGACCAGAUACCGUCGUAGUCUUAACCAUAAACUAUGCCGACUAGGGAUCGGAUGAUGUUAAUUUUUUUCAAUGACUCAUUCGGCGCCUU
rnacentral:misc_RNA from 1 species